CCUACGGGAGGCAGCAGUGAGGAAUAUUGGUCAAUGGGCGGAAGCCUGAACCAGCCAAGUCGCGUGAGGGAUUAAGGCCCUGCGGGUCGUAAACCUCUUUUGCCGGGGAGCAGUGGUCCGGACGAGUCCGGGCCGGGAGAGUACCCGGAGAAAAAGCAUCGGCUAACUCCGUGCCAGCAGCCGCGGUAAUACGGAGAAUGCGAGCGUUAUCCGGAUUUAUUGGGUUUAAAGGGUGCGUAGGCGGGCAUUUAAGCCGGCGGUCAAAUGUCGGGGCUCAACCCCGGCCUGCCGUCGGAACUGGGUGCCUUGAGUGGGCGAGAAGUAUGCGGAAUGCGUGGUGUAGCGGUGAAAUGCAUAGAUAUCACGCAGAACCCCGAUUGCGAAGGCAGCAUACCGGCGCCCGACUGACGCUGAGGCACGAAAGUGCGGGUAUCGAACAGGAUUAGAUACCCGGGUAGUC
rnacentral:rRNA from 1 species